AACGAACGCUGGCGGCACGCCUCAUACAUGCAAGUCGAGCGCGAAACCACCUUCGGGUGAUGUAGAGCGGCGAACGGGUGAGUAACAGGUGGGUAAUCUGCCCUUUGGCGGGGGACGAACAGCUGGAAACGGCUGCUAAUACCGCAUGUGAUUGUGGACUUAUGGUCUGCAAGGAAAGGCGCCUCAAAGCGCCACCAAAGGAUGAGCCCGCCCCCCACUUAGCUAGUUGGUGAGAUAACAGCUCACCAAGGCAUCGAUGGGUAGCCGAGCUGAGAGGUUGAUCGGCCACACUGGAACUGAGACACGGUCCAGACACCUACGGGUGGCAGCAGUAGGGAAUAUUGCGCAAUGGGCGAAAGCCUGACGCAGCGAUGCCGCGUGAGUGACGAAGGUCUUAGGAUUGUAAAGCUCUUUUCUGAGGGAAGAAUAGGUCUGGUAGGAAAUGACUGGAUUCUGACGGUACCUCAGGAAUAGGAACGGCUAAC
rnacentral:rRNA from 1 species